rnacentral:rRNA from 1 species
UGGGGAAUAUUGGACAAUGGGCGCAAGCCUGAUCCAGCAAUGCCGCGUGUGUGAAGAAGGCCUUCGGGUUGUAAAGCACUUUUAUCAGGAGCGAAACGCUGUCGGCUAAUACCCGGCGGAACUGACGGUACCUGAGGAAUAAGCACCGGCUAACUUCGUGCCAGCAGCCGCGGUAAUACGAAGGGUGCAAGCGUUAAUCGGAAUUACUGGGCGUAAAGCGUGCGUAGGCGGUUUCUUAAGUCUGCUGUGAAAUCCCCGGGCUCAACCUGGGAAUGGCAGUGGAUACUGGGAGGCUAGAGUGUGUCAGAGGGUGGUGGAAUUCCCGGUGUAGCGGUGAAAUGCGUAGAGAUCGGGAGGAACAUCAGUGGCGAAGGCGGCCACCUGGGACAACACUGACGCUGAGGCACGAAAGCGUGGGGAGCAAACAGGAUUAGAUACCCUGGUAGUCCACGCCCUAAACGAUGCGAACUGGAUGUUGGUCUCAACUCGGAGAUCAGUGUCGAAGCUAACGCGUUAAGUUCGCCGCCUGGGGGAGUACGGUCGCAAGACU